rnacentral:rRNA from 1 species
AUGACGUCAAAUCAUCAUGCCCCUUAUGGCCUGGGCUACAAACGUAAUACAAUGGCGUAUACAAAGGGAUGCGAAAGGGCGACCUGGAGCAAAACUCACAAAGUACGUCUCAGUUCAGAUUGGAGUCUGCAACUCGACUCCAUGAAGGCGGAAUCGCUAGUAAUCGCGGAUCAGCAUGCCGCGGUGAAUACGUUCUCGGGUUU